GAAGGUCAACAAGCAUGACAAGAGUUCUACACCGUGCCUGCCGAAAUUUGUGGAGUCAUUCACUGAAAGCAGUCAGGGGUCCAUACCAGGUGGCAAGGUGGUGGUGAAAGACACAUCUUGAAGGCAUGUCGCCACUUUUUACUGUGCAAGCAGGACAAAAAACUGCAGAUGCUACCAGUGCUUUUUUGGGCUCUCUUAAGUCAUUGGAGCAAUAAUUGGCUCGGACACCUGACAACAGCGAAAGAGCUAUCCAAGUGGGAAUCUACUUCUUAUACGUAGCAUAUUUCUAGGCUCAAAGAAAAAGCCCACGAGCUGUACAAGGACUCUGCAUGCAUCCCUGGCAUCAACACAGCCAAGAGGAAACCAGGAAAGGCACAAAGCACAAGGGGCCAUGCAAGAAUUCCAGGGAAGAGUGCGAAUGAGCUCUACGAAGCUUGGACCUUGAGGAAAAAGUGCACACGACACAGUCGAGAGGCAAGGCGUCUCUGUUAUGACAUAGCAAUUGCGCUCUCUGGUCUCAACACACACAAUGAAAGAUAUCGAUAAAGUCUUUAAUCUGUACAAGUACAAAAUGAUUACAUACAAACACAUUAAAAAGGUUUU